GGGCCCGUAGCUCAAUGGUCAGAGCAACCGGCUCAUAACCGGAUGGUCGCAGGUUCGAUUCCUGCCGGGCCCACCA
rnacentral:tRNA from 2 species